rnacentral:rRNA from 1 species
CGUAGGCAGCAAGCGUUGUUCGGAAUUACUGGGCGUAAGAGUGUGUAGGUGGUGUCGUAAGUUUGGUGUGAAAUCUCCCGGCUUAACUGGGAGGGUGCGCCGAAGACUGCGAUGCUGGAGUAUGGGAGAGGAAAGCGGAAUUCCUGGUGUAGCGGUGAAAUGCGUAGAUAUCAGGAGGAACAACCUGCGGUGUAGACGGCUUUCUGGACCAUUACUGACACUGAGACACGAAAGCGUGGGUAGCAAACAGGAUU